AAUAGAUACCCCGGUACGUCCACGCCGUAAACGAUGAGUGCUAAGUGUUAGAGGGGUUUCCGCCCUUUAGUGCUGCAGCNAACGCAUUAAGCACUCCGCCUGGGGGAGUACGGUCGCAAGACUGAAACUCAAAGGAAUUGACGGGGGCCCGCACAAGCGGUGGAGCAUGUGGUUUAAUUCGAAGCAACGCGAAGAACCUUACCAGGUCUUGACAUCCUCUGACAACUCUAGAGAUAGAGCGUUCCCCUUCGGGGGACAGAGUGACAGGUGGUGCAUGGUUGUCGUCAGCUCGUGUCGUGAGAUGUUGGGUUAAGUCCCGCAACGAGCGCAACCCUUGAUCUUAGUUGCCAGCAUUAAGUUGGGCACUCUAAGGUGACUGCCGGUGACAAACCGGAGGAAGGUGGGGAUGACGUCAAAUCAUCAUGCCCCUUAUGACCUGGGCUACACACGUGCUACGAAUGGAUGGUACAAAGGGCUGCGAAGACCGCGAGGUCAAGCCAAUCCCAUAAAACCAUUCUCAGUUCGGAUUGU
rnacentral:rRNA from 1 species